CCAAUAGCGUAUAUUAAAGUUGUUGCAGUUAAAAAGCUCGUAGUUGAACCUUAGGCCCGUGCGGGCGGUCCGUCCUCUGGGCGAGCACUGCUUCGUCGCGGGUCUCACCUUCUGGCGAGCGUGGAUGCCAUUUAUUUGGUGUCCGCGGGAACCAGGACCUUUACCUUGAAAAAAUUAGAGUGCUCAAAGCGGGCUCCGACGCUUGAAUACAUUAGCAUGGAAUAAUGAAAUAGGACGAUGGUUCUAUUUUGUUGGUUUCCGGGACCUUUGUAAUGAUUAAUAGGGAUAGUUGGGGGCAUUCGUAUUCAAUUGUCAGAGGUGAAAUUCUUGGAUUUAUUGAAGACGGACUACUGCGAAAGCAUUUGCCAAGGAUGUUUUCAUUAAUCAAGAACGAAAGUUGGGGGAUCGAAGACGAUCAGAUACCGUCGUAGUCUCAACCAUAAACUAUGCCGACUGGGAAUCGGGCGAUGUUACUUUUCUGACUCGCUCGGCGCCCCGAG
rnacentral:rRNA from 1 species